rnacentral:rRNA from 1 species
GACGAACGCUGGCGGCGUGCUUAACACAUGCAAGUCGAACGGUGACGGAGGAGCUUGCUCCUCCUGAUCAGUGGCGAACGGGUGAGUAACACGUGAGUAACCUGCCCCAGACUCUGGAAUAACAGUUGGAAACAGCUGCUAAUACCGGAUACGAGACGGAGAGGCAUCUCUACCGUCUGGAAAGUUUUUCGGCUGGGAUGGACUCGCGGCCUAUCAGCUUGUUGGUGAGGUAACGGCUCACCAAGGCGACGACGGGUAGCCGGCCUGAGAGGGCGACCGGCCACACUGGGACUGAGACACGGCCCAGACUCCUACGGGAGGCAGCAGUGGGGAAUAUUGGGCAAUGGGCGAAAGCCUGACCCAGCAACGCCGCGUGCACGAUGAAGGCCUUCGGGUCGUAAAGUGCUUUCUGAGGAAUGAGUAAGGACAGUACCUCAGGAAUAAGACCUCGGCCAACUACGU